GACGAACGCUGGCGGCGUGCUUAACACAUGCAAGUCGAGCGGUAAGGCCCUUUUGGGGGUACACGAGCGGCGAACGGGUGAGUAACACGUGGGUGAUCUGCCCUCAGCUCUGGGAUAAGCCUGGGAAACUGGGUCUAAUACUGGAUAUGACCUUUCCUCGCAUGGGGUUGGGUGGAAAGUUUUUCGGCUGGGGAUGGGCCCGCGGCCUAUCAGCUUGUUGGUGGGGUGAUGGCCUACCAAGGCGACGACGGGUAGCCGGCCUGAGGGGGCGACCGGCCACACUGGGACUGAGACACGGCCCAGACUCCUACGGGAGGCAGCAGUGGGGAAUAUUGCGCAAUGGGCGGAAGCCUGACGCAGCGACGCCGCGU
rnacentral:rRNA from 1 species